UACGGAAGGCAGCGGUGGGGAAUAUUGCACAAUGGGCGAAAGCCUGAUGCAGCUAUGCCGCGUGUAUGAAGAAGGCCUUAGGGUUGUAAAGUACUUUCAUCGGGGAGGAAAAAACAAAACUAAUAAUUUUAUUUCUUGACGUUACCCGAAAAAGAAGCACCGGCUAACUCCGUGCCAGCAGCCGCGGUAAUACGGAGGGUGCUAGCGUUAAUCAGAAUUACUGGGCGUAAAGAGCACGUAGGUGGUUUUUUUAAAGUCAGAUGUGAAAUCCCUGGGCUUAACCUGGAACUGCAUUUUGAAACUGAAAUACUAGAGUAUCGUAGAGGGAGGUAGAAUUCUAGGUGUAGCGGUGAAAUGCGUAGAUAUCUGGAGGAAUACCUGUGGCGAAAGCGGCCUCCUAAACGAAUACUGACACUGAGGUGCGAAAGCGUGGGGAGCAAACAGGGAUUAGAUACC
rnacentral:rRNA from 1 species